rnacentral:sRNA from 1 species
AGAAAAAACGAAGAACCAAAGACAGUAGGAGCUUUUAAAGCUUAAUAAUUAUCCUACCGAGGGGAAAGUUAAGAAUCUUUUGAGUCUUUAAAACUUCCCCAUGGGAAGUUUUUU